AUGGCGAACAUGCAGGAGUCGCUCGCCCUGGUGGGCACGAUGCGCGGCCACAACGACGUGGUGACGGCGAUCGCCGCGCCGAUCGACAACUCGCCCUACAUCGUGUCCGGCUCCCGCGACAAGUCGCUGCUGGUCUGGGACCUCACCAACCCGGUGCCGUCCCUCGGCGACGGCACCGUCGGCACCGACUACGCCGUGCCCUUCCGCCGCCUCACCGGCCACGGCCACUUCGUCCAGGACGUGGUCAUCAGCUCCGACGGCCAGUUCGCGCUCUCCGGCUCCUGGGACGGCGAGCUCCGCCUCUGGGACCUCUCCACUGGCCUCACCACCCGCCGCUUCGUCGGCCACACCAAGGACGUCAUCUCGGUCGCCUUCUCCGUCGACAACCGCCAGAUCGUCUCCGCCUCCCGCGACAACACCAUCAAGCUCUGGAACACCCUCGGCGAGUGCAAGUACACCAUCGGCGGCGACAUGGGCGGCGGCGAGGGCCACACCGGCUGGGUCUCGUGCGUCAGGUUCUCCCCCAACAUCCAGCAGCCCACCAUCGUCUCCGGCUCCUGGGACAAGACCGUCAAGGUCUGGAAUCUCACCAACUGCAAGCUCCGCUCCACCCUCGCCGGCCACGGUGGCUACGUGAACGCCGUCGCCGUCAGCCCCGAUGGCUCGCUCUGCGCCUCCGGCGGCAAGGACGGCGUCACGCUGCUCUGGGACCUGUCCGAGGGGAAGAGGCUGUACCAGCUGGAAGCCGGCUCCAUCAUCCAUGCGCUCUGCUUCUCGCCCAACCGCUACUGGCUCUGCGCUGCGACAGAGGAGUCUGUCAAGAUCUGGGACCUCGAGUCCAAGCAUGUCGUGCAGGACCUCAAGCCAGAAGUGCAGGUCUCCAAGAACCAGAUGCUGUACUGCACAAGCUUGAGCUGGAGCGCGGACGGAAGCACCCUCUACACCGGAUACACCGACGGGACCAUCAGGGUCUUCAAGAUCCAAGCCGGGUUCGCCGGAUACGCGUAG
rnacentral:rRNA from 1 species